GCGCACCAGAACCCUUUGUGAACUUAUACCUUACUGUUGCCUCGGCGCUAGCUGGUCCUCCGGGGCCCCUCCUUCUGGAGGAGCAGGCACGCCGGCGGCCAACCCAACUCUUGUUUUUACACUGAAACUCUGAGUACAAAACAUAAAUGAAUCAAAACUUUCAACAACGGAUCUCUUGGUUCUGGCAUCGAUGAAGAACGCAGCGAAAUGCGAUAAGUAAUGUGAAUUGCAGAAUUCAGUGAAUCAUCGAAUCUUUGAACGCACAUUGCGCCCUCUGGUAUUCCGGAGGGCAUGCCUGUUCGAGCGUCAUUUCAACCCUCAAGCCUGGCUUGGUGAUGGGGCACUGCCUGUAAAAGGGCAGGCCCUGAAAUUCAGUGGCGAGCUCGCCAGGACCCCGAGCGCAGUAGUUAAACCCUCGCUUUGGAAGGCCCUGGCGGUGCCCUGCCGUUAAACCCCCAACUUUUGAAAAUUUGACCUCGGAUCAGGUAGGAAUACCCGCUGAACUUAAGCAUAUCAAUAAGGCGGAGGAA
rnacentral:rRNA from 1 species